UACGUAGGGUGCGAGCGUUAAUCGAAAUUACUGGGCGUAAAGCGUGCGCAGGCGGUUUUGUAAGCCAGAUGUGAAAUCCCCGGGCUCAACCUGGGAAUGGCAUUUGGGACUGCAAGGCUGGAGUGUGGCAGAGGGGACUAGAAUUCCUGGUGUAGCAGUGAAAUGCGUAGAUAUGCGGAGGAACACCGAUGGCGAAGGCAGCCCCCUGGGAUAACACUGACGCUCAUGCACGAAAGCGUGGGGAGCAAACAGGAUUAGAAACCCUUGUAGU
rnacentral:rRNA from 1 species